rnacentral:rRNA from 1 species
UACGGAGGGUGCAAGCGUAUCCGGAUUCACUGGGUUUAAAGGGUGCGUAGGCGGAUAAGUAAGUCAGUGGUGAAAUCUCCGAGCUUAACUCGGAAACUGCCGUUGAUACUAUUUGUCUUGAAUAUUGUGGAGGUAAGCGGAAUAUGUCAUGUAGCGGUGAAAUGCUUAGAUAUGACAUAGAACACCAAUUGCGAAGGCAGCUUACUACACAAUGAUUGACGCUGAGGCACGAAAGCGUGGGGAUCAAACAGG